rnacentral:rRNA from 1 species
AUACGUAGGGGGCAAGCGUUAUCCGGAUUUACUGGGUGUAAAGGGAGCGUAGACGGCGAUGCAAGUCUGAAGUGAAAACCCGGGGCUCAACCCCGCGGACUGCUUUGGAAACUGUGUUGCUGGAGUGCAGGAGAGGUGAGUGGAAUUCCUAGUGUAGCGGUGAAAUGCGUAGAUAUUAGGAGGAACACCAGUGGCGAAGGCGGCUCACUGGACUGUAACUGACGUUGAGGCUCGAAAGCGUGGGGAGCAAACAGGAUUAGAUCCCCUGGUAGUCCACGCCGUAAACGAUGAAUGCUAGGUGUCGGGGGGCAAAGCCCUUCGGUGCCGCCGCUAACGCAUUAAGCAUUCCACCUGGGGAGUACGUUCGCAAGAAUGAAACUCAAAUGAAUUGGCGGGG